UACGAAGGGGGCUAGCGUUGCUCGGAAUCACUGGGCGUAAAGCGCACGUAGGCGGAUUCUUAAGUCAGGGGUGAAAUCCUGGAGCUCAACUCCAGAACUGCCUUUGAUACUGGGAAUCUCGAGUCCGGGAGAGGUGAGUGGAACUGCGAGUGUAGAGGUGAAAUUCGUAGAUAUUCGCAAGAAUACCAGUGGCGAAGGCGGCUCACUGGCCCGGUACUGACGCUGAGGUGCGAAAGCGUGGGGAGCAAACAGG
rnacentral:rRNA from 1 species